rnacentral:tRNA from 1 species
GCAGGCGUGAUCUAGUCUGGUUAGGAUCUGAGCCUUCCAAGCUCAUUGGCCGGGUUCAAAUCCCGGCGCCUGCA